rnacentral:rRNA from 1 species
UACGGGGGAGCAAGCGUUGUUCGGAUUUACUGGGCGUAAAGGGCGCGUAGGCGGUCAGCACAAGUCAGUUGUGAAAUCUCCGGGCUUAACUCGGAAAGGUCAACUGAUACUGUGCGACUAGAGUGCAGAAGGGGCAACUGGAAUUCUCGGUGUAGCGGUGAAAUGCGUAGAUAUCGAGAGGAACACCUGCGGCGAAGGCGGGUUGCUGGGCUGACACUGACGCUGAUGCGGCGAAAGCGUGGGGAGCGAACAGG